AUACGUAGGGGGCGAGCGUUGUCCGGAAUUACUGGGCGUAAAGCGCGCGCAGGCGGUCCUCUAAGUCUGAUGUGAAAGCCCCCGGCUUAACCGGGGAGGGUCAUUGGAAACUGGAGGACUUGAGUGCAGGAGAGGAGAGUGGAAUUCCCGGUGUAGCGGUGAAAUGCGUAGAGAUCGGGAGGAACACCAGUGGCGAAGGCGGCUCUCUGGCCUGUAACUGACGCUGAGGCGCGAAAGCGUGGGGAGCAAACAGGAUUAGAUACCCUGGUAGUCCACGCCGUAAACGAUGAGUGCUAGGUGUUGGGGGGAGUAAUCUCCUCAGUGCUGAAGUUAACACAUUAAGCACUCCGCCUGGGGAGUACGGCCGCAAGGCUGAA
rnacentral:rRNA from 1 species